CACGUUGAUCGAGGGAGACAUGCUGGGCGACAAGCUGGAGAAGAUCUGCUACGACAUGAAGUUCGAGGACACGGAAGAUGGCGGCUGCGUGGUGAAGGUGACGAGCGAGUAUCACACGAAGGGUGACUACGAGCUAGCCGAUGAGGAUCUCAAGGGUGCCAAAGAGCAGUCGCUCGGUAUGUACAAGUCUUGUGAGGACUACCUCCUUGCUAACCCCCACGUCUGCGCCUAAAUAUUUAUCAUCUCCUCGCUUCUGUGUUGAGUUGUGUGAAUAAAGAAACAAUUCUACAGUUGUUUCCUUAUUAAGACUUGAGUUGCUGUGUUUGCUUUUCUUCAACCAACUUUGUCUUCAUCCCUAUAUAUAUGUACUUGUAAUUUAAGAGCUUGCUUUGCUAUAAUUUCCUCUAAAUUCAUUCUCUACAUCUACUGUUUCAAUAUUUUCUGUCUUAGAUAGUAC
rnacentral:lncRNA from 1 species